rnacentral:rRNA from 1 species
GACGAACCGUGCGAACGUUGUUCGGAAUCACUGGGCUUAAAGGGCGCGUAGGCGGACCACCAAGUCGGGGGUGAAAUCUUUCAGCUCAACUGGAAAAGAGCUUCCGAUACUGGUGGUCUCGAGGGAGGUAGGGGUCGAGGGAACUAAUGGUGGAGCGGUGAAAUGCGUAGAUAUCAUUAGGAACGCCGGUGGCGAAAGCGCUCGACUGGACCUCUUCUGACGCUGAGGCGCGAAAGCCAGGGGAGCAAACGGG